rnacentral:rRNA from 1 species
GAUGAACGCUGGCGGCGUGCCUAAUACAUGCAAGUUGAGCGAUCAAAAUUGGUGCUUGCACCACUUUGAAUAGCAGCGAACGGGUGAGUAACACGUGGGGAAUCUGCCUUUGAGCCUGGGACAACAUCUGGAAACGAAUGCUAAUACCGCAUAACAACUUUAACCAUAUGUUUUAAGUUUGAAAGAUGCAUUUGCAUCACUCAAAGAUGAUCCCGCGUUGUAUUAGCUAAUUGGUGAGGUAAAGGCUCACCAAGGCGAAGAUACAUAGCCGACCUGAGAGGGUGAUCGGCCACAUUGGGACUUAGAAACGGCUCAGACUUCUAAGGGAGGCAGGAGUAGGGAAUCUUCGGCAAUGGAGGAAAGUCUGAACGAGCAACGCCGGGUGGGUGAAGAAGGGUCUUGGAUCGGAAAAAUCCGUUGGUAGAGAAGAACGAUGGGGAGAGUGGAAAGCGCACCAAGUGACGGUAACUAACCAGAAAGAGACGGCUAACUACGUG